GACGAACGCUGGCGGCGUGCUUAACACAUGCGAGUCGAACGGUAAGGCCCCCUCCUGUUUGGUGGGUGUGGCGGAGGGGCGAGCAGGUGGGGAACAAGUGAGUAACCUGCCUGCUUCUUCUGGAUAACCGCAUGAAAGUGAGGCUAAAGCGGGUUAUGCUGGGUCUGUGGCAUGGUGGGGCUGGGGCAGUUAGGGUUGCGGUGGGGGAUGGUCUCGCGGCGUGUCAGGUUGUUGGUGGGGUAAGGGCUGACCAAGGCUUUGACGGGUAGCCGGCCUGAGCGGGUGACAGGCAAGAUUGGGACUGAGAUACGGCCCAGCAGCGGACGGGAGGCAGCAGUGGGGAAUAGUCUACAGUGGGCGGAAGGCGGAAGCAGCAGCGCCGCGUGCGGGAUGACGGUCUUCGGGUUGUGAACCGCUUUUGCCUGGGACGAAGCGGGAGUGACGGUAAUUGGUAAAGAAGCACCGGCUAACUACGUG
rnacentral:rRNA from 1 species